GUUAAUGGGUUACCUGUGUAAUAAACCAGCUCAUCCCAGCCAGGUUUAUGCCACGCUGCAUUCCUUAUAUCUUCCCUGGUUUGCAGGUCUUUGUAAGCUGGGAAAACAAGCACAAAGUGACUCCUUUGCCUUCUGCACAGGAAGAGAUCCCUUAAAAGAAUUCCAAGGAGGAAUUAGGAGGCUGGGAAGAGCAGGAAGGAAAAAAAAUCAGGAUUUCUCUGCCAGCAGGAAAAGCUCCCAGAGCAGCACAAAGAGAAGGAGCUGGGGAAGAGAGAAAAUGCCUGGGCACAGAGGAGAAAGCUGAAAUAGCAAAUUCUGCUAUGCAGGGGAAAGGUGGAUACACCCCCACAGAGAGGUGAGUGUUACCAUUUUUUUAGCAAUCUGUAACAAAGAUCUAUAACAUUUCUAUAACAUAUAACAUUUACUGCAUCUUUGGAUGCAAUAAAUUAGAUGUAUCUAAAUAAUUAUGUCUAUCUAAAAGGUUAUCCAACACAUCAGGAAAACAAAUAUCAGGAUAUCUCACUGAAAACUCAGCAUACAUGGGUGAUUUGUUUGAGGAGAAGCUUUUCUUUGCUUGAGGAAAAACUUUUCUUUGCUUGAGGAAAGCUCCCCUCAAGGGGGGAGAACUCAGAAAUAUGAAAGCACGCUCUUCUAAACCAGUUACAACUGCUGAGCUGAAUGAAUAAAAAUAAUUUGAUAAAUGAAGUAAUGGCUGUAGCUCACAGCAUUGCUUUUUGAUUUCAGAAACUGCUCUUACCUUGAGGCAACUCACCACUAAUGAACAGUGGGACUGCCUUCAGAAUACCUCCAACACACAACUCCUGUCUGACUCUUCCCAGGAUUUCUAACACUCUUUCAAACUUUAGAAGAGGCCCAUAUUAGCAUGAGGAAAUUAAGUUUUGUUGAUUGCUGACUCAGUCAAGACUGCUUUCCUGCACUGUGCCUUGAUGAAUAAGUCAAUUAGUCUGCUUGAACUCUGCCUUUUCUAUUUUUCCCUGAAUAAUUACCCUUCUUCCUCAGUUUGGCUCACAGGCAGAGUCUCUGCACAGUAUCAAGGAAUAAAAAGUAGGCUGGGCUGGGCUGGGAGUCAUUAGAGAUGAGUUUUCCUCUGGAUUCUGCCACUGACUUUCCAGACAACCUUGAGCAAAUCUCAUUACCAAUUUGUACCUCGACAUUUUCUCACUAGCCAGGGUAAAUAAUAUGAUAAAAUGACACUCCUAGGAUAUUUCCAAGGAUGUUUCACCACCAGUUCAUUUUUGCAAAGUAGAAUGAGAUCCUGGAAAGGCAGCUUUGAAGAGGAAUGGGAAGUUAUUGCAUAAUUCUGCCAUAUAUUGUUGAAAAUUAAGAGAAAAAAUGCCCACAGAGCACCUUUUAAAAAAACCUGUCCCUAAUUCUUCAGAAGGGCUCCUUAACCAAAGUGAUUAAUGAUAUAUUCUUGCAAUUAUCUUCAUUACAUUAUUUAUUAAUGCCUGAUGACUAAUCCUCAUUUUGAUUUGAUACAGAAUUAACCUGCUCUUUUUCUUUCUUUAGGGAGAGGCAGGAGGGAAGUUCAGAGAGGCUUAAUUUUGUUUAUUACUUUAUUCAAGUUGUCUUCUUGCCUGAAAUACUUCAAUUUGCUUUGGAAAGAAUCAAUCUAACCACAGAUAUUUCAUCUGACUGCUGUCAGCAGUUUCUUUCUUUGCUGUUUGUCUCUUUCCAUGAAAACAGAAAUCUCUGCUCUCACUCAACAUUCAGGCAGCUCAUGAAAUA